rnacentral:rRNA from 1 species
CGAAAGCCUGACGGAGCAACGCCGCGUGAGGGAUGAAGGCCUCUGGGCUGUAAACCUCUUUUAUCAAGGAAGAAGAUCUGACGGUACUUGAUGAAUAAGCCACGGCUAAUUCCGUGCCAGCAGCCGCGGUAAUACGGGAGUGGCAAGCGUUAUCCGGAAUCAUUGGGCGUAAAGCGUCCGCAGGCGGCCUUGUAAGUCUGCUGUUAAAGCGUGGAGCUUAACUCCAUUUCAGCGGUGGAAACUACAAGGCUUGAGUGUGGUAGGGGCAGAGGGAAUUCCCGGUGUAGCGGUGAAAUGCGUAGAUAUCGGGAAGAACACCAGUGGCGAAGGCGCUCUGCUGGGCCAUAACUGACGCUCAUGGACGAAAGCCAGGGGAGCG